UUCUUGAAGGUCUGGACUACAAUGUGGA
rnacentral:piRNA from 1 species